rnacentral:lncRNA from 1 species
UAUAAGUUGAGUAUAUGUCCACAAAUUUUGAACCGUUAAAAAUGAGCGUAUGAUUUGUUAUGAAUUUUAAGAGGUGGCUGAUUCAGAAAUCAGGUUAUAAAUCAUUUUGGUGGAAAAUUCUAGAAUUGGUGAGCCCCACUCUUGGUUGGUGAAGAAAUGUGCUGAGAUUUUUAUUCAAAUGUGGUGGGUGAGAAUAGUAGCAGGUAAAGCCAUCAGGUUGCAAGUUAAGUCUGCUUCGGCGUGCUAACAUUUUCCUAUAAAUAGAGGGCUAAGUUAGAAUUGAAAAUCACACCAGAAACAAG